rnacentral:rRNA from 1 species
CUACGGGCUGCUGCAGUGGGGAAUAUUGCACAAUGGGCGCAAGCCUGAUGCAGCCAUGCCGCGUGUAUGAAGAAGGCCUUCGGGUUGUAAAGUACUUUCAGCGGGGAGGAAGGGAGUAAAGUUAAUACCUUUGCUCAUUGACGUUACCCGCAGAAGAAGCACCGGCUAACUCCGUGCCAGCAGCCGCGGUAAUACGGAGGGUGCAAGCGUUAAUCGGAAUUACUGGGCGUAAAGCGCACGCAGGCGGUUUGUUAAGUCAGAUGUGAAAUCCCCGGGCUCAACCUGGGAACUGCAUCUGAUACUGGCAAGCAUGAGUCUCGUAGAGGGGGGUAGAAUUCCAGGUGUAGCGGUGAAAUGCGUAGAGAUCUGGAGGAAUACCGGUGGCGAAGGCGGCCCCCUGGACGAAGACUGACGCUCAGGUGCGAAAGCGUGGGGAGCAAACAGGAUUAGAUACCCUUUAGUC